CACGGAGUUANCCGGGGUUCUUUACCAGAUACUGUCAUUAUCAUCUCUGGCGAAAGAGCUUUACGACCCUAAGGCCUUCGUCACUCACGCGGCAUGGCUAGAUCAGGCUUGCGCCCAUUGUCUAAGAUUCCCC
rnacentral:rRNA from 1 species